GAAUAUUGGACAAUGGGCGCAAGCCUGAUCCAGCCAUGCCGCGUGAGUGAUGAAGGCCUUAGGGUUGUAAAGCUCUUUCAGUGGGGACGAUAAUGACGGUACCCACAGAAGAAGCCCCGGCUAACUUCGUGCCAGCAGCCGCGGUAAUACGAAGGGGGCUAGCGUUGUUCGGAUUAACUGGGCGUAAAGCGCACGUAGGCGGAUCGUUAAGUCGGGGGUGAAAUCCUGGAGCUCAACUCCAGAACUGCCUUCGAUACUGGCGAUCUUGAGUCCGGAAGAGGUGAGUGGAACUCCUAGUGUAGAGGUGGAAUUCGUAGAUAUUAGGAAGAACACCAGUGGCGAAGGCGGCUCACUGGUCCGGUACUGACACUGAGGCACGAAAGCGUGGGGAGCAAA
rnacentral:rRNA from 1 species